rnacentral:lncRNA from 1 species
GCAGACCAAAAAAUUGAAAUAAUAUCGUAAAUGCGUUUUCAGAGACCUCUUGUGCGCGGUGGGGAUAGAAAUAGGGUGAGGGGUCCACCGGAAAGGACCGUUGAUUGGACAAGACCAACGAUUAAGAUGUAACAUAUGAGAUAUGGUCGCUGGGUGGGACACGCAUGGAUGUGACAAUGAUCGUGGGCGAUCCUUUUGGCAUCCAACGCCCUGCUUUGCGCUUCCGUUCUCCCUCGG